rnacentral:rRNA from 1 species
GGAUUGUAGUCUGCAACUCGACUACAUGAAGCUGGAAUCGCUAGUAAUCGCGAAUCAGAAUGUCGCGGUGAAUACGUUCCCGGGUCUUGUACACACCGCCCGUCACACCAUGGGAGUCGGGAAUGCCCGAAGUCAGUGACCCAACCGAAAGGGGGGAGCUGCCGAAGGCAGGCCUGGUAACUGGGGUGAAGUCGUAACAAGGUAUC